GGCUAUGUAGCUCAGCAGGUAGAGCGUCCGCCUCAUAAGCGGAAGGUCUCAGGUUCAAGUCCUGACGUUGCCA
rnacentral:tRNA from 1 species